rnacentral:ncRNA from 2 species
AGAGUUAAAUAGUACGUGAAAUUGCUAAAAGGGAAACGAUUGAAAUCAGUGUUGGGCGCUGGAAAUCAGCCAGGCAGCAAUGGUUGGUGCACUUUUCAGCGGCCAGGUCAACAUUGGUUUUGGGCGAGGUAAAUUAGUGUGGGAAGGUGGCUCUCUUGGGAGUGUUAUAUCCUGCGCGAAUAUCUUGUCUGGGACCGAGGAUUGCAGUACAUGCCCGCGGGCUGGCGAACCAGGUGCUACUUUUCAGUGGUGUAGUGGCAGCAUGCUGACUCUAUGCGGGUGAGGAGUACUUGCUUGGGAAGCACAAAUGUACUCAGGAUGUUGACGAAAUGGUUUUAAACGACC